CACAAGGAGACUGCCUGUUACGCGAAUGCAGUAAACCAAGAUAUCUUGGGAUGUGCUUUGGCAGAUGAAAAGGAGAUCACAACCGACUGGAUUAAAGAUUGUGAUGCACUCCGGGACUAUUAAAAAAAGAUGGCAAAUCCUUUCCCUAAAAUAGGCGACAGUGUGACAAAGGAAAUAGACCAUCCAAAGGACUGCAACGUGUUUGAGGGCAACCGAGUGACCCCACCAUCAUAUACAUGCCCCUCUUCGAUAUCCAUAAUUGUAAAGGUGAGGAGGAAAUAAAGAAGGAGAUGGUUGAGUACACCUCAUUCGUACUGUCUUACAUUGUAGGGAAGAUGUAUCACCUUCUAGAAAAGGCAUCUGCAAACAUGAGAAACAAUAAGGGGAAAAUCCUCAGGGAGAUUGAGAAGGCUAUCAAGCGCAGGCAAGAAAAUAAGUGAAUUUCAUAUGUAACAAUGAAAUGGCUAUUGAAUUACUAGCCUGCAGUUAGAAUCUUAGUAUUGACAUUAGUGGCAACAUGAGCAACAUGAGUUCUCAUCGGAACCCAUAGUUGCCAGUGGCCCCAAACUCCAGUCUGUCAUACAGCAUAGGCCUACCCCUUAGUCCAACACCUGAUCCAGAAGAAAGCUGACUACCAAUUAUAGGUUCCCAACAAUAAUUGUUUUCUCAACUCAAUUAUAUCCAAGCCCUAUACGUGUUGCAGUGGGACUAUGUACAGUAUAGUCUACAAUGGGUGGAAUACCUCCAUGUUUGUAUAUCGGCUAACAUUUUUCCUGAAGAUGUACUAGUUAAGUACAACCACCAGAUGUCUCUAAGUGUUCACAUUAUCCAUUAAUUUGCAUUGAACUUGUAUUUUCUAGCUAUGUGGGAAAUUAUGAAAUGUAUCUACAUUUUUCCCAAUAUUAUGGGCUAGGUAGGGGUUAAGUUAUAUUGUUGUAUUGUGUAGGCCUGUCAUGGUUUGUGGGUAUCAUAAGCACAGAUUUAAUAACACAAAUGUAUACUUGUAGCCUUAUGAAUAUGGCCAUUGGGCAAUACAUUACAAACUGCCAAAACGUAGGGUACAUGCCCUCCCUGUUAAGAUGCAUUACUACAUGAAUUAAUAAAA